rnacentral:rRNA from 1 species
AUUGAACGCUGGCGGCAGGCCUAACACAUGCAAGUCGAACGAGUGGCGGACGGGUGAGCAAUGUCUGGGAAAAUGCCUGAUGGAGGGGGUUAACUACUGGGAACGGUAGCUAAUACCGCAUACCAUCGGAUGUGCCCAGUUGGGAUUAGCUAGUGGGUUGGGUAAAGGCUAACCUAGGCGACGAUCCCUAGCUGGUCUGUGAGGAUGACCAGCCACACUGGAACUGAGACACGGUCCAGACGCCUACGGGAGGCAGCAGUGGGGAAGAUUGCACAAUGGGCGCAAGCCUGAUGCAGCCAUGCCGCUUGUAUGAAGAAGGCCUUCGGGUUGUAAAGUACUUUCAGCGGGGAGGCGUUACCCGCAGAAGAAGCACCGGCUAACUCCGUGCCAGCCGCCGCGGUAAUUC